GCGGAGCGUGACUGUCUCGGCUGGAAGCUUGGGAGGCCGGAGGAUCAGUGACUGGCUGUCGUGGACAUGCUCGCUACACCUCCCGGGGCUUCGCUUCGUUUACUAUUAACUGUCGUUACUCCUCUGUAUCUCGUCAGCAGGGGCUGCCUGCGGUGUUAGAAUUACACGCCCCUGCCACCUGGGCACGGAGCCCAGUCUCCCGGCCCCUCAGUCAGUCCUUGGGUGUAGCUGGAGCAUUUAAGAAAAAUGAAAUAUAGGAACUCAGUGCAUGGUUUCCUGGGCCUUUUUAUUGAGUAUCAUUUCUAACAUGUACACAGUAUAACCCAGGCUUAGUGGAUUCCGGGACAGAAAAUGUUGGGAGCUGGGAUAGUCAAGUAAACAAGAAGAAAUGGUAAAGAGAUGCCAAGUGGGAGAGGAAACUGUACGGAUGCAGAGGGAGGAUCUGGAAUAAAGAGAACAAAGAUGCGUGGUCGACUUUAUGGAAACUCGUUUCUUUUUAAUAAGUGAGGUACAUGGUAGAAGACUUUGACAUGUUGAUUAUGGGACUGGGACCAAGGACAACAACUCAAGAAUUGAUUAAAACUACAGUUAUUCCUUGGUUGCCCCAAGGAUGAUCCUGGUUAGCCAAGUGAAGCAGUGGGAGUGGAGAAGGAACAAAGAAAUCUGUAAAGUAGUUGUGAUCAAUUAGUUGUAAACACUACUGCACUCAGACUCAGACCAGCUUGCAUUGAUUUUUAUGACCUAAUCUCAGAGGUUGUACAGCGUCACUUCCACUGUACUCUACUUGUUGAAGCAGCUACAAAAACACCACAUUUAAGUAAAGGGACACUAAUUGGGAGGAGUGUUAGUCACAUUAUAAGAAAAGCAUGUGGAAUGAGAGAUUAAGUAGAGAUAUUACUGCAGUCAUUUAAGGAAAAUAUAAUCUCCCAUAAUAUUAAUAUCUUAUUUUCCUUUUGUAAAAAAAAAAUGUACCAUUUCAGGCUGAGCAUGUUGGCUCACGCCUGUAAUCAUAACAUUUUGGGAGGCUGAGGCCAGUGGAUCACCUGAGGUCAGGAAUUCGAGACCAGCCUGGCCAACGUGGCGAAACCUCGUCUCUGCUAAAAAUACAAAAAUUAGCCGGGUGUGGUGGCAGUCACCUAUAAUCCCAGCUACUCGGAAGGCUGAGGCAGGAGAAUCGCUUGAACCCAGGGGCAGAGGUUGCAGUGAGCUGGUACCACCACUGCACUCCAGCCUGGAUGACAGAGUGAAACUCCGUCUCAAAAAAACAAAACAAAACAAAAACUAAAAUGUACCAUUUCAGAUUUUUUUUCUGAAAUUAAACCUGAAAAGGUCAAAAAACACAUAAAUUACAGUCCCUUUCAAUUACUUACCAUGUACAGGUAUUGUCUAAGUCUAUAGAAGUUCAGACUAUAGUAGUUCAAAAUACCUUAUACAGGGCAGCUUAUAAAAAGCAGAAGUUUAUUUCUCAUAGUUCUGAAGGCUGGGAAGUCCGGGUUCAAGGUUCUGGCAGAUUCAGUGCCUGUCGAGGGACUGCUUUUUGGUUCACAGAUAGUGUCUUCUAGCUGUCUCCUCAUGUGGUAGAAGGGUGCCUUUUUUAUUAGUACCCCUAGUUUUAUUUAUUUUAUUUUAUUUUUUAGAGACAGGGGUUUUACUAUGUUGCCCAGGCUAGCCUCAAACUCCUGGGCUUGAGCGAUCCUCCCACCUCAGCCUCCCAAGUAGUUGGGACUACAGGCACACGUUAAAACACCUGGUUCCUAUUAGUGGUUCUUUUAUAAAGGCACUAAUCUCAUCUGUGGCACCAGAGCCCUCAUGACCUAAUUACCUCCCAAAGAUCCCAUCCCCUAAUACCACCAUAUUGGUGAUGAGGUUUCAAUACAUGAAUUUGGGGGGCUGGGGACACAAACAUUCAGACCACAGUAGGUGUUACAUUGAUAUGAGCUGGUAAGUGUUAACAACUGGCAGCAAUCAGAUACCCAGCCAUAGGUGAAGGCAGGUGAUUAGAAUUACCAGCCAACACAUUUAUGUGCUAGCUAAUUUUUAUUCAAAACUUUCUGAAGCUACAUUCAAAGCAGUUAAUGGGAAAUGGAGUAAAAAAAUAGGCAACCUCUCACUCUAGGUAAUGCUGUUAAAAGUAAUUUUUCCUCCCAGUCCUCUCCUGUAAUGAAUAGUAUAAGAAGGUAUCCUCCCAACGUAGAUGCACCUUGUGUUUCCAAAGUUUUAAUUAGUUGUCAUGAUAAUUUUAUGUGUCAACUUGACUGGGUUAAGGGAUGCCCAAAUAGGUAGUAAAACAUUAUUUCUGGGUGUAUCUGUGAAGGUGUUUCUGGAUAAAAUUAACAUUUGAAUGGGUAGACUGAGUAGAGCAGACUGUCCUCCCCCAUGUGGGUGGCCUUUAUCCGAAUGGUUGAAGGCGAAAAUAGAACAAAAAACCUGAGUAGAGAGGAUUCCCACUGCCUGACUACCUUCGAACUGGGACAGUGGCUGUUUCCUGCCUUUGGACUUGAACUGAAACAUCAGCUCUUCCUGAGUCUUGAGCCUCCUGGCUUUUGAACUGAAACAACAGUAAUGGCUCUCCUGGUUCUCAGGCAUUUGGACUUGGACUAGAACUACACCAUCAGUUCUCCUGGGUCUCCAGCUUGCCAAUCUCCAGUUUGCCAACUGCAGAUCUUAGGACUUGUCAGCCUCCAUAACUCCGUGAACCAAUUUUUUGUAAUAAAUCUCUUUCUAUAUGUCUA
rnacentral:lncRNA from 1 species